rnacentral:snRNA from 1 species
GGAUGUGAGAGCGAUCUGGCUUCGACAUCUAUCACCCCAUUGAUUGCCAGGGUUAAUUCGGCUGAUCUGACUGGCUAGGCGGGUGUCCCCUUGCUCCCUCACCGCUCCAUGCGGCACUCGGUCGAAGAGGACAGCCUUCCCCAAUAGAGAUGGACCAGUCUUCAGUUGAGGGUAUACAAGUAGCUGCACUCCCCUGCUAAAACCUCCAAACAAGCUCUCAAUUCACCAAGAAAGUAUAUAAUUUUAACACACAUCUAUUGUUUAUAUGAUGCUUUCAGUGUAACAAAU